rnacentral:lncRNA from 1 species
GAGUUCUACUGAGUCAUUUAGGUAAAGAAUCAAGGUUAAAAAAUGCACAAAGAAUAUCUAUUUUCCUUCAAAAAUAAUGUGAAAAAUAACUCUCUGUUUAAAAACAAAUUAUUAGUAAUCAAUUUACAGGCAAACAAGACCAGUAAGAACUCGAGGGCACUGAUAAAUUGUGGUCAUUACUGACUGUUAAUUGAAAGUAGAUUCAAACAAACAAACAAACAAAAUCUUUAUGGAGAGAAGCAAAUAUCUUUAUGUGUACCCUGUAGAAAAGGUCCUCUUGGGAUUUUUUUUUUUUUUUGGUAUUUAA